UACGAAGGGGGCUAGCGUUGCUCGGAAUUACUGGGCGUAAAGCGCACGUAGGCGGUCUUUAAGUCGGGGGUGAAAUCCCAGAGCUCAACUCUGGAACUGCCUUCGAUACUGGGAAUCUGGACCCAAGUAGAGGCGAGUGGAAUUGCGAGUGUAGAGGUGAAAUUCGUAGAUAUUCGCAGGAACACCAGUGGCGAAGGCGACUCGCUGGACUUGUGGUGACGCUGAGACGCGAAAGCGUGGGUAGCAAACAGG
rnacentral:rRNA from 1 species